CAGAGGAGGUUGGACAGCUAAUUAGCGAGUUGUCACGUGAGCUCUCGACCAAUGAGAUCGCUUUAUUUUCCAUCGUGUUGGCGAAUAAUUUUGGCCUUCUAAUUUGCAUUGGACACAGAAGAACUCAAAAAAUAUAUAUAAAUAUUCAUAUUUUUCUAUCAAAAUGCAACCAUGGCCUUAGUAUUAUAAAAGGACUGGCGAUAUGUGCAAGAAUUUCUGAGGUAAACGUUAUUUUUUAACCUGUUUUCGAUGAUUAAAGUUGGUCAUGCCUUGGCAACGUGAUGACUCAAGUCCGAGUCUGUUUACAAUUUUCAAACUAAAAAAUCUGGAAUUCCCAUGGUUCGAUUUUCGUAAUUUUUGCAAAAAAAUCAAGACAAAUGUCUAAACUAAAAAUCUGCUGGAGGGAUCCCCGGGAUCCCCCGGGAGUUUUCGAGAUAUUUGGCAUUGAAGUGACCAUACUCAAUUCAACCUUUGCCAAAAUGGCAUCUAAUAUCUGGGGAAGAUAUUGCGCCACCAAAGCUUGAUUUUCACGAUGAAUUUUGAAAGUCCCCUAAUAUUAGGAUAAUUUUUCUUUACAGUAAGUGUUAAAUUACUUUGAAAGACUAUUUAGAAGACUUAGGAGUUAUUUGCCUGUUUUUACAGAUUUUAUAUCUGGGCUGGUAUUACUAGCCUGCAUGCCCAUCUCCUUGACAUGCAUGCCUAUCUCCUUGGCAAGUGAAAUUGUCCGGUGAUAGAGACGAUUUUAAAAGAACAGCACAUUAUAAAGUGAUCAGAUUUUCUCUCAGUGAAAAAUUCUAUGUUCUUUUUUAAUUACAGCAGUUCAGAUGUCGAUAUAGAAUUGAAAAAGGGCUUCUUCCUGAACAUCCAAGGGCAGGGCCAACUGACGAUGUUGAAGAAUGAAGACAUUUUAGCAUGGAUUACUAGUAUAGAUUAUAGUAUCUCUUGUCCUUUAUGAUGUCUUUCUGAAAGUUAUUGGUGAAUACAAAUUGAGCUGUGAUCCCUCAACGUGGCCAACAACAUGCUCCACCAAAUACCUGAGCACAAUAUAGAAAGUGCACAUACAUGCAGGGAUGGAUUUACUGGGAGGGUGUGGGGUGUGUACCCCCUAGCCCUGGCCAGGGGGGGUGCAGGAGGGUGCUAUUUUUUAUGAUAAAGCAAAAAAGACAAAAUGAGAUACAAUAAUUUGAGUAAUAACAUGAUG
rnacentral:lncRNA from 1 species